AGAGGGACUCCAGCACGCCUGGAUGCUGGUCUCAGGCAAGCACAGUGGUGCCCGAUCGGGAUCCCUGCUUUCCUGGGUGCCUGCUGUGGGAGGGAUGCCCAUCAAUUGCUCUGGGCUGCCCUUCCCUGGCCUCUUAGAGGAUGUAGAAAAUGCAGAGAGACCCAAGGUGGGUGUUCCGUGAGGGGACUUCUGCUGGGGGAGAGUGGGGCAUGGCUGCUGUCUAGGAGCUGAUCUCAGACGUGAAAAGUGAGUGGGAUAUGGGGGUUUCUGACCCCAGAGGCUGGGGAAGCCCUUCACAGGCCAUCUGUCCCGAGACCACAGGGUGGGCAGCAACGCCUGCCUCCAUCCUCACCCCAGCCUGCUGCUGUCAGUGCUGGAGUUCCUCCCAACAGAGUGGAGACUCCGGGACCUGUGCUCCCUGGGAGAUGGUGACAUAUGCAGCCUGAGGCUUCUGUUCCCCAUGAGCAGGCACAAAGUCUGUGGGCCCGGGGGAGCCUGAGAGCUGGACCUCCUUUCCCAGACAUUUCUGAAGAAGCACAAUUGAAGCGUGCCUGCCCUGCUCCAGCCUGGUUAACCCUGGGCGUGGGGCCUGCCAGAUGUCUUGAGCCUGCUGUCCCAUGUUCUCUGUGUCCCAGGUUCAGGGUUCCUCCAUCCCCAGCGCCCUGGCUCAGGGACUGGCUGAGCAAGGAAAACACUGGUGAGUGAAGCAGCCAAGAGCUUGCGUCACAGCGGAAUAGGCAGUCUGUUGUUUGCCUCAUCCACUAUUAUUUUAUUUUAUUAUAAAAUAAGAAGAUAUGAUGUUACUUUCCUGAGGAGCCCUGAGGUAGACACCAGGAUCCCAUUUCACAGAUACAGAAGCUGUGGCCAAGGCUGGCGGGACUUGUGGAGCUGGGCCUGGUGCUCAGGUGGCCUGGCCUCCUUACCCACUCACCGCAUAUGCCUGUCCUCCUGUCUAGGCCUCUAGAUACCAUGUGGCACUGGGACGGGUCCCCCGGUCCCCACUGGACCUGGUGUGCUGGUGAGGCCAGUGUCUGCAUGGUCCUGCUUCUGGGCCCCAGGCAGGCUGUGCCCCUGGCUUCGGCCCUGGCUACCUCUGCUGCCUCUGCUGUGGGCCUGGGUGCUGAGCCUGUUCUCUCCUCUCCCUGCACCCCAGGCCUCUGCCCUGGGCUCCCCCAACCACUGACAACUGUCAGGAGCCCCAACCCUGCUGGCCAGACAUCGUAGUCCACUCGGGCCAGCAGGGGCCUCCUGUCACUGGAGUUGCCCAGAGCUUUUGGAGCCUGGGCCUCAGUUGUGCCUGGUGCUUUCCUCUGCAGCCCCAUCCUGGCUUGACUGCUCCCCUGCCCUCGCCUCCAGCAGCGGACUCUGCUUCCGAUGCCUCGGGAGUCUACAGCAGGGCCAUGUCUGUGAGGGCCCAAGGGUGCAUGUGUCUCCCAGGUUUCGGUGCAGAGCGGCUUCCCUCCUCCCAGCAAUGCGAGCUAAUCCUGGAGGACCCCACUGGAGCAGCUCAGCAUGGAGCCUGUCUCCUGCAGUCUCCCCAGCUCCUCCAUGGGGCAUUCUCACCCACAGCCCGUCCCUGCUUCAUGGAUGCCUCUAAAGCUUCCAGCUUCUGACAACGGCGUUCACGGUUUCACCACAAGCUCCCAAGCUCCUGGCUUCUUCCCCUGACAUGUCCCGGGCCCAGGGCAUGACAUUUACAGUUUCCUCUCAUUAUUCCCACCUCUUCACUCCAUUUUGCUUCACCCUGCCCACGGAGGGGCUGCUGCUUGACCCUGCCAUCCCAGGACCACCCUUUCUGACAUGUCUGCCACCAAGACUCAUUCAUACGUCUACAUGUCCGUUUACUCAGCUGACUCUUGUGGGGCACAUUCUGGGAGCUGGCAUGGAGAAUGAAGCUCUGCGGGUGGGCAGCCCACCUCUGCCAGCCUCACUUGCACUCACUCCAUCCAGUAACCAGAGUCUACUCCACAGCCAGGAGCAGCAGCCCCUCUACCUCUCAGCCUCAUCCCGUGUGCCCUCCAUUCUUCUUCCCACACCCAGCCGGACUCACCCUGUACCUUGGCCGAUGCAGCCCAGUCUUCCUGCAACCCCGUCCCUCUGUCUCAGCAGGUUCCAGGCCUGGCUCCAGGGCCACCUCCUUCAGCCAGUGCCAUAGGUGGCUGAAUUCUGUCCCUGGAGUGGUUCUAUGUUGACAUCCUAACCCCCAGUACCUCCAAAUGUGACUGUACUUGGAGACAGUUGAAAUGGGGUCAUAUGGGUGGACCCUAAUCCCAUAUGACUGGCGUCCUUAUAAGUGGAGAUGAGGACACAGAUGUGCACAGAAGACAGAUGAGGUGAGGAUGCAGGGAGAAGGUGGUCAUCUGCAAAGCAAGAGAAAGGCCUCAAAAGAAACCAACCCUGUGACACCUUGAUCUUGGACUUCCAGCCUCCAGAACUUUGAAGAAAUGAAUUUCUGUUUAAUAUUGUUAUGGCAGCCCCACCCAACUGAUAUAGCUGAGUGUCCCCUUUGCCUUCCCUAGGGCCUGAGAUUUCCUUUUUAGCCCUUUCACCUCAAGUCACAUUUGUUUGCAGACACCACAUCACCAGGACCCCACCAAUAAGACCCAACACUGCCUCCUCAUUUUCCCCGUGAUUUGAGGGGAAGAAAAGGCAAAAACACUUAAAUGAAGGAAUCGAAGACAGCCUUUUGGCCAGCAGACCUUGUCAGCCUUGGGUAAUGCUGUGAUGUGUUUUGAAAAAUGCCAGCAGGCUCAGCCUUGAUAUUUAUGACCCUGCUUCUUGGCCUUCCUGGGGAGUGGUGCUCUCUGCUCUUAAAUUUAUGGUCCUUCAGUGCAGUCCCAGACCAACCAGGGGAUUGCAAAUGGGCUGUCUGCUAAUAGUGUGUGCAGAUGGUGUGGGAGGUGGUGUGAUCCUUGGCUCUGGGGUCAGACACAAGUGCUUCUCACCCGGGGAGGGGUGCUCCGGACCUGAGAAGGGUCUCCUCCAUCUUCUCCUUUGCAAAGCCUCAGAGUUUACAGAGGAAUCAAGGUAUGCUAACCACCUCUCACUAUUUUUGACAUGGCUGCACACCAGUUCCACUUUCUUAAUAUUUAUCUUUUAAUCAACUUGUUGCCCCCUGGAGGCCAGACGACCCAUGGGGCAUAAGACAUGAAGUGCAUGUUCCUGCUAUCCCUGGGCCUGGGCUAAAUUAGGUGGGGACCCCCUUCAGGGCCUUUGCAGAGUUUGGAGACAUGGGGAAGAUCAGGAUCCCCACCUGGCCCCUAGAAGGGAGAUCUCUGAAAGACUAGUUGAAGCUAACAAGCUUAACCUCCCCAAGUCCCUAUGUGUCCACCUGAGCUUGACUUUAUUAAAAAGGCAGGUGGAUUUCCUUUUGAGGAGCUCUGCAAAUCUUGGGGUAAGGAGGAGACAUUAGAGUGAGGGUGAUACCUGUGAUGCCCAACGACCAAUCCCAGAAUGACCCAGGCACAAGAAGGUACUGGAAUUCUUCAGAGGGGCACGAGUAACUACCCCACCUGCCAUACAUUUUCAGGUGGAAAACAAAAGUCACACAGCAGUGCAGAUUUCUCCAGGAAGAACUGCAGCUCGGAAGCCAAGUGUGGACCGGGGCCCUGGGAAGAGACUGCUGAGCCAGGAGUUGUCUGGAAUCCUUGUCUGUUGCAGACCCCAUGACCAGUGAGUGCAACCUCACCACAACCAUUGAUGCUGAAUAGGAACCUGCAAAUCCAAUGGCACUGCCAGAAUCAACUGAAUGGCUCUGAGAAGGCAGCCCUCAGAAAUCUGGGAAAUUCUCUCCUAUGGAUGAUCACAGGUUCUGGGAUGCAGAGCAAACAGGGAGCUAAUGGAAGCACUCAGGAUGAUAGAAUUCUAACUUCAUGAAAACAUGUUUGAUUGUGGGUCCCAGUAAAGAUGUCCCAGUUCUCGGCCAGAAUCUUUUCUGAAGACUGAGCUGGAGGAGGUACCCGUUCUGGAAUGGUCUCAAAUGCAACCUGCAGGUUUGGCCCCCUGGAGGAAGUGAGAAGAAUGGAGAUGAACACGUUUCUUGUGUCAUGUCCUCAUUCUGCCCAAGACACACCUACC